AGCGAACGCUGGCGGCAUGCCUAUCACAUGCAAGUCGCACGGGGGGGCUUCGGCCUCCCAGUGGCGGACGGGUGAGGAACGCGUAGGGACCUGUCGAGGGGUGGGGGAUAACCGCGGGAAACUGCGGCUAAUACCGCAUGACGCCGCGGCGUGACAGCCGGGGCCAAAGGCGAAAGCCGCCCGCCGAGGGGCCUGCGUCCGAUUAGCUGGUUGGCGGGGUAGCGGCCCACCAAGGCGUCGAUCGGUAGCUGGUCUGAGAGGGUGAUCAGCCACACCGGGACUGAGACACGGCCCGGACUCCUACGGGAGGCAGCAGUGGGGAAUAUUGGACAAUGGGCGCAAGCCUGAUCCAGCAAUGCCGCGUGGGUGAAGAAGGUCUUCGGAUUGUAAAGCCCUUUCGGCGGGGACGAUGGUGACGGUACCCGCAGAAGAAGCCCCGGCUAACUUCGUG
rnacentral:rRNA from 1 species